GAGGAUUCCGAGUUCAGUGAGAAUGAAAACCACGCCAGUCCUAGAACUCUCAAGGUCCAGAGCAGUGGAGAGACAGUCCAUGACCACACCUACACUGUUUCCUGUUGGGUUUGGAGUGUCACUGUUUAUGUAUCACUCCCUCAUUGUGUGCAACUGUUUAUCUGACACUUGUUAAUUUAUAUCUCUGCUUAUUUACAUAGGCUUUGUUAGUUUAGACAUCAAGGGUAGAAGUUGAAUAGAAACCACCAAAAUGAAGUUUCAGUUGAGCAGAAGGAUUUUUACCUACUUUCGAAAUAUAUGGGAGAUUCGUUGCUGGUUGUGAAGAAGUCUUGAAAGAUGCAACAAAGCUGUUUGCCUGUAAAAAAUAAAUAUGGAAGAGGAAUCAAGACCCUUUCAGUGGGAAUGGAGAGCUGGAUUGUCAGGGUCCAUGGAAGGCAAGAAACACUUCAUGCAGGGUGAGAAGAAAACUGUUCCAGAACCAGGAAUAAAGAGGGGGGCUUUCCUAGAUUCUCAGGAAAAAGGCAGGCUCCAGGGACAACACUCGGGGGAAGCCUGGGUGGCAAGUGUCUGCGCUUACGGAGACAGCUCACCAGCCCCUUAACACUCCACCUGUACUAGAGGGUUGCACAAGCUAUAACACAUGGAUGGAAGCCAAAAGACAACUUGCGGAGUUGGUUCUCUCCAUUCACCAGAUCUGCCUUCUUGACUCUGCACUCUGGCAGCUCAACCUUCUGCACUACUGUCAAUCUGCAAUGAUCUAUAAAGCAUGACAGUCACAUUUGGGUAAAUUGUUCAUAAGAAGUCACUGUGUGCCAGGUGACUGGGAGCAUCUCCAGUACAGAGUUUCUAAAAUGUGUUUCACUGGCUCAAAGACCAUUUUCCUUUUCUAAAGAUGUCCCUAGGCUAAAAGUGAGACUAAAGGACACUGGAAACUACUAAAGAGGUAGGUUCUAGCAUAAACCAUCUAGGGAGCUUCUUACUGUCUUCUAUACUAUUUAAGGAGAUAGUGCAGAACUUGAGAACUAUAUGACAAAGUAUGAAGUGUUGUUUCAUUUGUCUGUGACCUGUAUCAACUGAGAUUGGUGAGAACUGAACCUUAAACAGUAAAGCCCAGAGCCUACUUUACAGAAGGCUCAGACAAGCAAGCUCACAGGUACUGUUCGUGCUCUUCCCUUUCCAGGCUAUGAGAGAGUUUCUCACCUUACUGAACUGUCCAGCCACAUACUUCAGGAUAUUGGGAGGCGCAUCAUAGAGAAACGGCUCAAGCGCUGGAAGAUAGGUGCAUUUUUGAAUGAUAUUCUUUAUGGCCUUUUUACUCUGUUGAAAUACAAAGCAAAAUAAAUAAAAAUCUUGGC
ensembl:processed_transcript Gm3363 predicted gene 20539